UCUGACAGGACGCGCACGGACUGCGCCCCGAAGUACUUCAGUAAGUCCUCCUUCUCCUCAGCCGUCAGCUCCGCCGGCAGGUGCCGGACGAGGAGGGUGCGGUCGCCUCGGGGAGGAGAGAGCGAAGCGGAACCUGGGCCUCCUCGCGACAGUGGCAUCGACGGCUCGGGCACCGCCAUCUUCCACGCAGAACCAGCCGGAGACAGUCCUUCCGCACAAGCUGCCGGCCAAACUCCGGCAGUCACGGAGCCUGAGCCGAAGUCAUUUUCCGCUUCGCGCUAAGCAUUCUGGACGUACGGAAAUCCCGCGUGAGUUGAUCUCGCGAGAGUGGCCUUCUGGAGAACAGCGCUUCUGUUCGCGGAUUGCCGCAGAGAGAGCUUUUAGAGCCGCGCUUUAAGUUUGAGGAGACGUUGUAAUAACAUAAAGACUGAAAGAGACACCAAUGUUAGAAAGCCAGAAAUCUAAUCGAGAAACGUCAGUCUUGUGAAACAAAGAGGCUGUAGCUCCAGAGACCAAGUACUGAAGGAACCUUGUAAGAUUGUUGCUCGCCGCGAUCUUAAUCCAGAUUUUCAGGAAGUGAAUCUGGCUGGUGAAAUGGAGAACUCUUGGGAAAUGUAAAGUGUGUUCCUAUCAUUUAGGAGUGGUGAAACACUAAGGUAUUCAGCAUAAGAUUAGACACUACAGGCAAGAGAACACGCCGUCAUCAGUCGGCAUAUACAGGCUGAAAGUUCUUGGCACUAUUUAUUAAACAGAAUUGGCUACUUCGUGAAUAAAUACCUAAAAAUGUGUAGGCAU
rnacentral:lncRNA from 1 species